AGGGAUCUCGUGAUGCCGGCAA
rnacentral:miRNA from 1 species